AUGGCUCCAGACCCUCAGGCAGGACUUGGGGUAGUACAGGGUGGGCCUUACUGCCUCUGCUCUUGUUCUCCCCUGGGAUGCACUUUUCUCCUGUGUCUGCCUGGGAACAUUUACGCCAGCUUGGAAACCAGCUCAAAAAUCACCUCCUCCAAAGUCCUCAGACAAAGAGGGAUAGAAGAGAAAAACAUGGCUAUUAAAGUGUUCAGAUGGAUGGUGUUUAUCAGUCUACUACACAACGCAUUGAGGUGAAAUCCGGAGCAGUGUCACUACAGGCCUGAGAAAAAAGCAGAGCCAAGAGGAACCAGAUACAUGCGUCCAGAGCCACUGGAUUAAGUCAGGGCAGUACCCAGCCUUCCUCCUGACCCUUCCAGUUACAAGUAUCAUUAAAAUUCCUUACCAUUUAAGCUAGUUGUGUGAGGUUUUCAAUUAUUUGCCACCAAAAUCUUCCUGACCUAUUCACGGUCAUUGAAAAAGGAUUCCAAUGUUCUCCAACAAUGAACCCCACUCCUAGUCUAACAAAUACUUCCCAUUUAUAAAAUACUUAAGUGGAAAUCUUGCUCGUGGAUAAAUAAAGUGGAUCCCAUUUACUAACA
rnacentral:lncRNA from 12 species